GUAGGUGGCAAGCGUUGUCCGGAAUUAUUGGGCGUAAAGCGCACGCAGGCGGUUCUUUAAGUCUGAUGUGAAAGCCCACGGCUCAACCGUGGAGGGUCAUUGGAAACUGGAGAACUUGAGUACAGAAGAGGAAAGCGGAAUUCCACGUGUAGCGGUGAAAUGCGUAGAGAUGUGGAGGAACACCAGUGGCGAAGGCGGCUUUCUGGUCUGUAACUGACGCUGAGGCGCGAAAGCGUGGGGAGCAAACAGGGAUUAGAUACCCUGGUAGUCCACGCCGUAAACGAUGAGUGCUAAGUGUUAGGGGGGUUUCCGCCCCCUUAGUGCUGCAGCUAACGCAUUAAGCACUCCGCCUGGGGAGUACGGCCGCAAGGCUG
rnacentral:rRNA from 1 species